GACGUCCGCCUUUGCUUGGGCCGUGGGCCUGGAUACCCAGAUGAAAUAUUGAGCACGAAAAUCAUAGGAGAGAGGCAAUUCAACAAGGCCGUUGAUCUGUUCAUGUCUGCUACUGAGGAACUGAGUGGGAAGAUUGAUUAUCGACAUUUGUACCUAAACUUUACGGAUCUUGAGGUAGAUUUAGAUGGAAAAGGCAAAGCCAAGACUUGUCCUGCGGCUCUUGGCCCAGGAUUUGCCGCUGGAACUACAGAUGGUCCUGGCAUGUUUGGGUUUGAACAAGGUGACACAGAGAUCAACGAGCUCUGGGGAAAAGUGAGGGACGCUUUGAAAGAACCAAGCCAACAUCAGGCGGACUGCCAGAAACCCAAGAAUGUUUUGCUCUCUACUGGAGAAAUGUUCGAUCCUUAUGCAUGGGCGCCAGCAAUUCUUCCAAUUCAAAUACUGAGGCUGGGAAGAUUGAUCAUACUUUCCGUACCAGGAGAGUUCACAACAAUGGCUGGCCGGCGACUAAGGGAAGCAGUUAAGAAGACGUUGAUUAAUAAUGGAGAAGGAGAUUUUGAUAAUGAGACUCACAUUGUAAUAGCUGGCCUUACAAACACGUACUCACAGUAUGUUGCAACUAUUGAAGAAUAUGGACAGCAAAGAUACGAGGGAGCUUCGACGCUCUAUGGUCCUCAUACGCUGUCAGCAUAUAUCCAAGAAUUCAAUAAACUAGCAGUAGCAUUGGCAAAGGGAGAACGGCUUCCGAAAACGGACUUGUCACCCCCAGACCUUUCCUCUAAACAAUACAGACUCCUUCUUCCCCCCUGGAUUGACUCACCUCCUAAGGGCGUAAAGUUAGGGGAUAUGAA
rnacentral:misc_RNA from 1 species